UAAUUAUUUCAUAUGUUUCAGUUAAACCACCUGAUGCUGACUUCUGUAACCUGCUGAAGCACGUUACACACUCAGGAUCACCAAGGUAGCAUCAUGUGUCCUCCAGGAGAACCAAAGCUGGACCAGGACGUCUGAACAUCAGAACCUUUACAGAGUCACACCGCUGCCUUUGCAUUCAUGUCCACGCGGCCGGUCCCUCCGACCACCAACAGCAGGCAAGGUGGGUUGCCCAAGGACACAGCGACAGACUGAGUGUGGCUCGAACCUGCAACCUUCCAAUCAUGGAGCGUCCACCACAUCUGGGAGCUCCAUGAAAGCAGCAGCAGACACCUGGUUCCAGCUGAAGGUGUUUCUGUGGAGGGCUCUGAUGUCAGAGAGAGGGAUCCUCAUGUCCUGAAGAAGUCUGGAGCCUGCUGAGCUGCUGCAGCAGAAGUUCUUUAUGAGGUCCGGUGGAUUAGAGACUAAAACAGGUCGAUGCCUGACUGAAAAUGUGCAGAUUAAACCAAUCACACAGUUUUCUGUUAUAAUGACCUCUGGUUUUUAAUAAAUAUAUAGAUGAAAAAUGUUUGUUCAUUUGGUUUUGGACAACUCACUCACACUCAAUGUGUCGUCUAAAAAGGUUUUACCCAGAAACAGUUUUAUUUAUAUAAACAGUUGCUAUUUCCACUAGUUGUUAGGCUGGAAGCUCAAUCAGCA